UGGGAACUGAAAAUUCCUAGGGAGCACAGA
rnacentral:piRNA from 1 species